UCCGACUUAACGUCGGCAGUCUCUCUAGAGUGCUCAGCUUAACCUGUUAGCAACUAAAGACGAGGGUUGCGCUCGUUGCGGGACUUAACCCAACAUCUCACGACACGAGCUGACGACAACCAUGCACCACCUGUCACUCUGUCCCCCGAAGGGGAACGUCCUAUCUCUAGGAUUGUCAGAGGAUGUCAAGACCUGGUAAGGUUCUUCGCGUUGCUUCGAAUUAAACCACAUGCUCCACCGCUUGUGCGGGCCCCCGUCAAUUCCUUUGAGUUUCAGCCUUGCGGCCGUACUCCCCAGGCGGAGUGCUUAAUGCGUUAGCGACGGCACCGGGAGGGUCGCUCCCCCCGACGCCUAGUGCCCAUCGUUUACGGCGUGGACUAC
rnacentral:misc_RNA from 1 species